rnacentral:rRNA from 1 species
GACGUAGGGGGCAAGCGUUGUCCGGAUUUAUUGGGCGUAAAGCGCGUGUAGGCGGCCAUGUAGGUCUGACGUGAAAUCCCGAGGCUCAACCUCGGCAGGGCGUUGGAAACCAUAUGGCUAGAGUCUGGAAGAGGAGAGUGGAAUUCCUGGUGUAGCGGUGAAAUGCGCAGAUAUCAGGAAGAACACCGAUGGCGAAGGCAGCGCUCUGGGACGGGACUGACGCUGAGACGCGAAAGCGUGGGGAGCAAACAGG